rnacentral:rRNA from 1 species
AUUGAACGCUGGCGGCAGGCUUAACACAUGCAAGUCGAGCGGGGGAAGGUAGCUUGCUACCGGACCUAGCGGCGGACGGGUGAGGAAUGCUUAGGAAUCUGCCUAUUAGUGGGGGACAACAUCCCGAAAGGGAUGCUAAUACCGAAUACGUCCUAAGGGAGAAAGCAGCGGAUCUUCGGACCUUGCGCUAAUAGAUGAGCCUAAGUCGGAUUAGCUAGUUGGUGGGGUAAAGGCCUACCAAGGCGACGAUCUGUAGCGGGUCUGAGAGGAUGAUCCGCCACACUGGGACUGAGCCACGGCCCAGACUCCUACGGGAGGCAGCAGUGGGGAAUAUUGGACAAUGGGGGGAACCCUGAUCCAGCCAUGCCGCGUGUGUGAAGAAGGCCUUAUGGUUGUAAAGCACUUUAAGCGAGGAGGAGGCUACUCUAGUUAAUACCUAGGGAUAGUGGACGUUACUCGCAGAAUAAGCACGGGCUAACUCUGUGCCAGCCGCCGCCGUAA